rnacentral:lncRNA from 1 species
GGGUGGCGAAGCGCCGCCGGGCGCUUGGUGGCCGCUGCCGCCGCCACUGCAGCUGUGCACGCCCGCCUCUCGGAGGAAACUUGAAGCCAGCAGUACAAGCAGGGCUGGAGGCCGAGCGGAGGUGGGGCGGGACCGGUUGGAGCAGGGACUCUUUAAACACGUGCGUCUGGAGGAGCCAUCCGACCUUGGGACUAGGGAAACGUGGACUUGGUGGGCUAUUCUGCGCUGAAGAGGCAGCAACGAGGGCUCGGUGGUAUUGGUGUUGGUCCUAGUGGAAUUGUCAAGAGGAUGCUUUUGAAGACCUGAUGCCUGGAGGUACAGCAGCCAUCUUGUGACCAUAAGGAGGAAAUCAACGCAUUAAGAAGGGAAAAGCUAAGAAGAUACAGAGAGCAGGGACCACUGACAACAUGAUCAAGCCACUCUACCAGGCCUUAACUUCCUAUUCCCUGACUUCUUAUUGAAAGAGACAAUAAAACUUCUCAUUUGUUUUAACCCAUAGAAGUAAGGCAUUCUGUUACUUAUGGGUGAACACAAUUCUUAACUGAUGCCAUGGUUUAAUGGGAGUAGGGAUCCUGGUAUGACAGGAAAUUGAGAUAAUCAGUUUAUGGCUAGUGUAGCAGCUCCAAGACACGAUUAAUGUCCCAAGCUCUUUUGCCCUCCUGACUUGCUAGCCUCAGUAUGUGGAUUUUGUUCUCCCAGUCUGAAGGCAUAACUUUUGGGGAAGAGUAAAAGAAGCCCUCUCCAGAGAUCUGCUACAUCUCAUUGGCCAGAACUCUAACAUUUGGCCGCCACUACCUAGUUGCAAGUGAAUCUGAGAAGGUGAGUGUUUUUUCAUUUCAGGCUUUAUGAAAUAGAAAGGCAAAGGAAGGGGGGUUUGAGCAGCCUUUGAACAGCCAGUUCACGUUUUUGCUAUACUGCUCUAGUCAGGUUUUCUAUUACCAGCAGCCUAAUACAAUUUCCAGGUGCCCCAAGUUGUGCUGACAACUUGGUGUAUAAGAGAGACAGUGCUUUGGGGUUAGUAUGAUCAGGGAAAGUUCACUGACAAAGUGGCAACCUAAGGCAAAUUACAUCACACUUUUUCUCUGCUUGUAAGUAAGUCUGAAUGUUCCAUGUUUUCCUGACCUAUUCUUAACCGAUUCCUGCUCCUCCUGAGUUGUUAUACAUAAAUUAGUUUUGGUUUUCUGCCUUCUUCUAAUAUAUAGCAAUACCUCUGUUUAUUGAAGGUGAAGGCAAAUACAGUUUGCAUUAGUCUGUUUUCACACUGCUAUAAAGAUACUACCUGAGACUGGGUAAUUUAUAAAGGAAAGAGGUUUCAUUGACUCACAGUUCAGCAUGGCUGGGGAGGCCUCAGGAAACUUACAAUCACAGCAGAAGGCAACGGGGAAGCAAGGCACAUCUUACAUGGCAGCAGGAGAGAGAAAGAGAGAGAGAGUGAAAGGGAAUUGCCAAACACUUUUAAACCAUCAGAUCUUGUGAGAACUCACUAUCAGGAGAAUAGCAGGGGGAAACCACCCCCGUGAUCCAGUCAUCUCCUACCAGAUUCCUCCCUCGACACAUGGAAAUUACAAUUCAAGAUGAGAUCUGGGUGGGAACACAGAACCAAACCAUAUCACAGAUGCUCCUUAUGAUAGGGUUACAUCCCAAUAAACCCUUUGUAAAUUGAAAAUAGUGUACAUCAAAAUGCAUUUAAUACAUCGAACCUAUCACACAUUAUAACUUAGCCUAACCUACCUUAAAUGUGCUUAGAAUACUUACAUUAGCCUACAGUUGGGCAAAAUCAUCUAACACAAAGCCUAUUUUAUAAUAAAGUAUUGAAUAUCUCAUGUCAUUUAUUAAAUGCUGUACCAAAAGUGAAAAAACAGAAUGGUUUUAUGGGUACUUGAAAUGUAAUAUCUAUUGAAUGUGUAUCGCUUUGGCACUAUUGUGAAGUUGAAAAAUCUUAAGAUGAACAGUCAUAAGUCGGGGACUGUCUGUAAAGUGUACCCACACAACUGAAGACUUGGUUUAUCAUGAAGCUUUUUCCAACCUUAUCUCCUAUCUGCUCUCCCCUUACAUUCCUGUCUCCACCCUACCCUCAAGCAUCCAUCAGAGAAAUGGUCAAAGCGUAAAGGGGAAUGCCUUUGGAUUCAUGGGAAGCUCAGUUAAGUGGGCUGUGAGCCUCCUCUUGCCCCAUCACUCAUCCUGUUCUGCCCACAGGAAAAUCUGACCAUAUGUUUCAUUUAACACAAAAUUCGAGAGUAUCUCCUAAACAGUAUUUUCCCCCAUAAAUGAACUCUGUAAACUUUUCAGUGCCAUAAAUAACUGGUAUGAUAUAUCAAGUUACUCUCUUGCUUCCCAGCCAAGCCCUGUUGAAAUCCCAGAAAGCUUUCCCCAUCCUCCAGCUUAAAUCCAGCUCACCAAGUUCUCACUCCCACCUCUCAACACCCCCAUCCAAACACUCCCUCCAGUCCCCACCACAAAGAUACUCUGCCCUGGCUAAGCAACCACCCCUAAUACUGUUUCUCUCUUGGUGGGGUUUGGAUGUUUAGAAUGUCCUGAGAAUUGGGGUUCUUUGAGUGUUUAUUAUAAAAUUUUAAAAGAUGUAGAAGAAUAGAGAGUUUAGUGAACAUUCAUCUACCUAUCUGGAUUCAGCAACUGUUAGCAUUUUUGUGCUUUGAGUUGUUUCAAAAUUGUGUUUUACAGCUGGUUUGUUCAAACCAGGAUCUAAAGAUUUUCUCACCCCUCAGUGUUACAGUAGCUAGGCAGGCAGAGAUGAGCAGGGCAGGAGAGGACCUCCCUCCAACAACAGGCAUGCCAGGCAACCAUCAGGUCAUGGUCAGGUGAUUGUUAACUGUCUCUCUAAAAUAAUAAUUGGUUGUGGCCCCGUGCCAGAGAGAGGCAGUCUCCCAACAGAUAGAAACACCUGAAACUGGUAAUCAGCAGCUUCCCAAUAAGAUUUCAGGAGUUGGGCGAGUGGGCUCAAACAUGUGCACUAAGAGGCAAAAUGGCAGAGUUUAAAGGGUAUAUGAACACUGGGUAAAGGAAGAAUUCCUCAAGUGAGCACGUGUACAACUUCAGUAAACACACUGUGCAUGUGGCCCCUCCCAACUGCUGGCAGGCCACUGUGCAUGUGGACAGCCCACCCCAAGGGAAGCAUCAGGGUAAGGGAGGAGACCACCCCUCAUAUUGUCUUAUGCCCAAUUUCUGCCUCCAAAGAAAGAAGAAGUAAAAACUAAAAGGCAGAAAUGAAAUUCUCAGGCAGACAGCCCGGCGCCGUGCCCUGGGCCUGGUUAAAGAUCGACCCCUGACCUAACCAGUUAUGUUAUCUAUAGAUUCCAGAUAUUGUAUGGAAGAGCAUUGUAAAAAUCCCUGUCCUGUUCUGUUCCGUUCUGAUUACCAGUGCAUGCAUCCCCCAGUCACGCACCCCCUGCUUGCUCAAUCGAUUACGACCCUCUCACGUGGACCCCCUUAGAGUUGUAAGCCCUUAAAAGGGACAGGAAUUGCUCACUUGGGGAGCUCGGUUUUUGA